AGAGAGAGAGAGACAAAUACCCAUCCUCCCUCCAUCCUCUCCCCCAAGUCCUUGAUCAUCUUUUAAGGCACAUUAAGAUCUGCUAAGAUGUGGCCCUGACAACAGACCACUGUGCUCUUCAAGAGCCCCAAGCUUUCUCAAAGGCACCAUGUCUUCAUGUCUCCCUUAAUUAAUUACAGUCAGUUGAAAGCCAUAUUUUUAAAGAUCUCACCACAGUGAAAUGUCACUAUACAUUUUCCAACUGAGUUAUUAAAAAAAAAAACCUCACUGCUUAUGGAAAAAUGCUGUCAAAGGUAGAUGGGAGAUAGAGACAGAAGGAGCUCAACUUUGAGGAUAGCCUGAGCUAUCUGCACUAGGGAGAUAUAAAAGAUAGAAGCAGGGUCUUCAGUAUUCAGUCUCAGGAUUCCCCAGCCACGCUGAGGAGAGCCACACUGUCUGAAGCUUGGUGAGAGCCUGUGGAGACAGGAUCAGCCCUUUCCGCCUGAUAUAGAGAGUUUAUUGAUUUCUGUCCUCAGUUUGAUUAUUUCUUGGUGUCUACUCCUCCAUGGUCUUCCCCAACUCUUGCUCGCUCUACUUGAGGAUGGAGGGGCAAACAGUAAUGGCGGCGGCUGCUGGCUGCUUUGGACUGCCUCCAAGUCCCUCUGCAGGAUUCGGUGGCAGGAAGUGUCUGAUGGUGCCCCGACACUCACCGCUUGCUCUACCGGAGGGUGGAGGGGCAAUGCAGUAAUGGAGUCUCAGUUAUUAUGAGUACUGCCUGCUCUUGCAGAGGACCAGGGUUCCAUUCCUAGCACCCACAAGACAGCACACCUUGGUCUGCAACUCUAGUUCCAAGGUCCCCAAUGCCCUCUUUUGGUUUGCAAAGGCACUUCAUGCAUGUGCACAGACACAGUCAGAAAAUCCAUACACAUAAAAUAAAAAUAAAUCUUAAAAAAAACCAAAGUAUUGAAAUAAGAUUGGGUGUGGUGGUACAGGCCAGUAAUCCCUGAGCUCAGGAUUGGCAAGAUGACUCAGUGUGUAAAGGGUCUUGCUGUCAAACCUGAUGACCUGGUUCAUCCCUGGGACCCACAUGAUAGAAAGAAAGAUAAAACUCCUACAAAUUGUCUUCUGCUCUCUACAUGACACACACUCCUGUCCAAACACACACACACACACACACACACACACACACACACACACACACACAGAGAGAGAGAGAGAGAGAGAGAGAG